UGACAGAUCCUCUGCCACUUUGGUCGGUCCCUCAGUCAGAUGGACCAGGGCCACCUCAGUGUUCUAGGGAUCCCUUGAUGUUGACUAGGACUGUCCUUGGAGAGGGCUUUCUGUUCUCACCUGCUCUCUGUCCUUGUAAGGCCCAGCAGAAGCACCAUGCGGUGGGCUGUGGCCCUGCUUCUAGCUCUCCUGCCUGCUGCAGGCAGUCAAACAUCUGGUUUGGAAGGAGGAAUGACAUCGGUCACCAGGAAACCUGGGUCCUAUAUAAUCAUCACUUGCAAUAUUCAUAAAGAGGAGAACUACAUCCACUGGUACCUAGUCCAGGAGGGGCAGGCCCCACGCCGUCUUCUCUACUAUGACUUCUUCACUUCCAAGACGGUGGAUUCUGAGUUCAACUCAGGGAAAUACCAUGUUUAUGAAGGCACAGAAAGGAGCUAUAAGUUUGUGCUGCGAAACGUGGAAGAAAGCGAUUCUGGAGUGUACUACUGCGCAGUCUGGGCAGGCACAGCGCUUCACUCCUGCCUUUCUCUGCGCUGAAAAGGAUGUGCUGUGCAGCGGGCGCCCUCUCACUUCCUGGCCUGAGGUCACCUCCUAGCUCCACCUUUAUGUCCGUGUCACACCACCACAACAGCUGAACCCGGACCCACCCACAUCCUCAGGACUUCCUUAAAGGCCACACUACCGUCUCCAGUACUUGACCAAGCCCUCUGGCUAAUGGCAAGGGCCGGAAAGCACGCUCAAGCUGCCAUCUGGGGCAGAGAAGGUCACCCAGGGGUAGUCAGCUAGAGGGGACAUUUAAGAAGACAUCAUGGGAACAGGAGUUGAACUGAAUCAUUUAUCCAGUCACGAUCUAGAGAUAAUGACAGGGGAGGAUGCUUCUUCACUACUUGAGAUUCUGAGGCGUGAUGGAACAGAAGCCUUGUGCUUCAGGAAGUCCUUGUGCUGGUAGUCAGAUUUACUAUUUUUAAGAAGAUGAUAUUUUCUUCACCAUAACCACCCACAGUACUGUUUGUAUGAAUGAGCAUGCCAGAAAAGAGGGGGUUAUUGUAGUUUACUGAUCCUUAAUACAAAUUGAGUUUCUCCGAUCUAAAUGUCCAUCCUUACUCGUUCAUGUACCAGGUGGCAACCAGUCUACAAAACAGAUGGAUGUGCUGGGUAGGACAGAACUGUUGGUGUGUGCACAGGCAGCCUCCGUGCACGCAAGCAUGGCACAGCGUGCACAGCAAACUGGUGACACCAGGCUACUUUCUGUUUAAGAAUUAAAACAGAGGGAUGUCCUCAUCACGCUACCUCAGGUGGAUUGUGCCCUGGGUGACCAGUGGGCGUCAAUCUUGUUUUACCUUUCUUUUUUCAAAGUGGACUUGUUGAUCUCCCAUGAAUUUUAUUGAACACAUCUAUUGAAAUUGACCCUUGGACAGACCCAUUUUAAGCAAAUAAAUUUAAGGCUCUAGCCAC